rnacentral:rRNA from 1 species
UACAACUUUCAACAACGGAUCUCUUGGUUCUGGCAUCGAUGAAGAACGCAGCGAAAUGCGAUACGUAGUGUGAAUUGCAGAAUUCAGUGAAUCAUCGAACCUUUGAACGCACAUUGCGCCCUUUGGUAUUCCAAAGGGCAUGCCUGUUCGAGCGUC